CACCGCCCGUCACACCAUGGGAAUUGGAUCUACCCGAAGGUGGUGCGCCAACCUCGCAAGAGGAGGCAGCCAACCACGGUAGGUUCAGUGACUGGGGUG
rnacentral:rRNA from 1 species